rnacentral:lncRNA from 1 species
CGCGGGAGCGCGCGCGCUGUCGCCUCAGGGCGGCUGUGACGGCCGUAACGGCUGUGGAGACGUUUGCGCUGUGCGUGGUGGGCGCUGUAGGGGGCCUUUGCCGUCCCGGGGACAACCCUUUGCGCGACUUUGGAUCCCGCGGUUAGAGACGGCAGUGGAAAGCCGGUGUGCUUUGCCCGGGUGUGAGUGACCUAGCGAAGAGAAGGAUCCCUUGGUUGCCUUUGCCGGCUCAGCGUGGUCUCUCCAGGCGCUUAAUGGUGGCAUUGGCCAGAGAGGCUGGGAGCCGUGUGGUGAGCGCAGCGGGGCCCUGAAGCAGGCUGCUGGAAGGAGCCCGACCAGCCUCUCUUGAGCCAUAAAAAGACUAGAUCUUGGCUAGUCCUGGAGACCUUGUAGAUGCGAGAGGCUGCCUGACACGUUUUUCCUUUUCUUAAUGUUUUUGUCACCUGAAGUUACAGAUACCUUUACCUGAAACAGAGCUUUGUAGAAAUGUUACAGUGAAUGUGAGAUUUCAGGCAGCACCAGAACACAGGGAAUCAUUGCUGAGAAAUGUUGCUCCAGCACUGCUUGCCAGAUAAAAGUUCUAUCUUCAAUUAAAAAUUGCAAACCCUAUUUAAUUCUACAAAGGAGAGAUAUUACAAGAAGGAUAGUUAUAUUCAUUAGGUUUCAGUUAAAGAAAAUAUGAUGAUACAGUUUAAGCAUUCAGUUGAGGUUUAAGAGCCCACUGUGCUCUAUUCURCAACACAGGAGGAAGGACUGCAUUGCCCUGGAGUGUUUGCGUUUUGAAGGACAUAGAAACAAAAGGGUGACAAAUUACUUUACCUCUUGUUAUUUUCACUCCAAGAGAGCAGAGACAGAUACCUAAAAUUAGAAAGACACAGGCCUGGUGAAAAUGAGUGAGAAGAGAGAUGCCAGAAGCAAGAGAAGGGUUGCGAUGUUGUCAGCUGUAAUGGCCAUUAUUUCACCUGGACUGAUAUGCAAAGUGACUGGAACAAGCCCUUGGGCCAUCUCUAAAAAGACAUUCAAAAGAAAUUUAAUAAGAACAAAAUCUCUACUUUGUGUUCCUUUGUGUGACCCAGCAGCUGUUCUUAUGCCUAUUUGUUGAAAGAUGUUUUUCAGUUUUUUCUUUUCAGUUGUACUGAUAAUCACAGAAUCACAGAAUCACAGAAUCGCUGAGGUUGGAAGGGACCUCUGGAGAUCAUCUAGUCCAACCCCCCUGCUCAAGCAGGUCACCUAGAGCACGUUGCACAGGAUUGCAUCCAGGCGCGUUUUGAAUAUCUCCAGAGAAGGAGACUCCACAACCUCUCGGGGCAACCUGUUCCAGUGCGCUGUCACCCUCACAGUGAAAAAGUAUUUCCUCAUGUUCAGACGGAAUUGUCUGUGUUUCAGUUUGUGCCCGUUGCCUCGCGUCCUGUCGCUCGGCACCACUGAAAAGAG